rnacentral:lncRNA from 1 species
ACUAUCUGAAGAAGAAAAAAAUGAAGAUGAAUAUGGUAGCAAUGCGUUUUUUGAUUUUGUUUGUUCUAAUUAUAGUUGCAAGUGCACUAGAUCCAAAAGUAGGUGAUUGUAUUUAUAAGUGUCGUCAAGAAUGUGCCAUGGCACGAUUACUUUGCAAUAUAAUGUGUUUGCAAAAAUGCCAACCACCCCCUCCAUCUUCAUGAUUAAUGUAUGAACUCAAAUUCUAUUUCAUAAUAUGUUUGCAUCACUUAUAUAUAUAUAUAUAUAUAUAUGCUUUUAUUAUUUCUCUAAACAUGUUUCAGAAUUAUUAGUGUCAUGACUCAGUCACCCUCUAAUAUAUAAACUCUGAUAAUUUUUUUGUAUUUGUUUUUGUUGUAGAUUUGGUUCAGGCGAAAAGGAUUUGGG